rnacentral:rRNA from 1 species
UACAGAGGGUGCGAGCGUUGUCCGGAAUCACUGGGCGUAAAGGGAGCGUAGGCGGGCUCUUAAGUUAGGUGUUUAAUCCCGGGGCCCAACCCCGGACCGGCACUUUAAACUGGGAAUCUUGAAUAGUGGAGAGGUCGGUGGAAUUGGGGGUGUAGCGGUGGAAUGCGUAGAGAUCCCCAAAGAACACCAGUGCGAAGGCGGCCGACUGGACACAUAUUGACGCUGAGGCUCGAAAGCAUGGGAGCAACAG